rnacentral:rRNA from 1 species
CCUACGGGGGGCAGCAGUGGGGAAUAUUGGACAAUGGGCGAAAGCCUGAUCCAGCAAUACCGCGUGUGUGAAGAAGGCCUUAGGGUUGUAAAGCACUUUCAAUUGGGAGGAAAAAUUCGUAGCUAAUAUCUGCGAACUUGACAUUACCUUUAGAAGAAGCACCGGCUAACUCCGUGCCAGCAGCCGCGGUAAUACGGAGGGUGCAAGCGUUAAUCGGAAUUACUGGGCGUAAAGCGUGCGUAGGCGGCUCGUUAAGUCAGAUGUGAAAGCCCUGGGCUCAACCUGGGAACUGCAUUUGAAACUGGCGAGCUAGAGUUUGAGAGAGGUAAGUGGAAUUUCAGGUGUAGCGGUGAAAUGCGUAGAGAUCUGAAGGAACACCAGUGGCGAAGGCGACUUACUGGCUUAAAACUGACGCUGAGGUACGAAAGCGUGGGUAGCAAACAGGAUUAGAUACCCCAGUAGU